CAAAAGGCAAUGAAAGGAACAUUAGUAGUUUUAAUCUCCCUGUACUAGAGAGUUAACGGAUGGUGAAAGUUAACACAAAGAUUAAAAAUGAAAUUCACUCCUUGAGCUUCUUUCUCUAUUAACAUGAGCAAAGACGGGUAAAACUGUUAACAUAAAUAAAGAGGUAAAUAUUUAUUUACAAUUUAGGGUGGUACCGCGAUAAUUUCGUCCCUGCU
rnacentral:ncRNA from 1 species